UGAAUGUGCAACUACUGAAUGAGUUCUUUGAAUUUAUGUGCUGUAUUUUUGAGACUUUCCUGGCAGGACAUGAUUCGUGUACAUCUUUUUUUGGAGGAUAUUCUGAUUAGCCAAUCGCGGUGAGUUUUUAAUCCAUCAAUUAAAUGCUCCCUACUGACCAAACUCAAGAAUCUCCACCAUUUAUUCAUUAUUAUUUUCAUUCAUUCAUUUUCAUACAUCAGUAGGCCUAAUAUAAAUGCAACAGCCGUAAAUUAAAUGAGCUGAUUAACGUUAUAUAUAUCAGUGAUAUUGAGUACGAUGAUCUUGUCAUUCGCAAAUGGCUGGAUUGAGUGCAUUCAGUAGCAAAUCUUACUGAACGAAUCUUUGAUUUUAAAUAAAUCAGGUAAAUAAAUGACUCGUUCAGUGAUGCAAUCACUUGCUGCCUCCUGCUGGCAUUUUCAGAAUAUCAUCAAUCACCUCUGUGAUCAGAUUGUUAUGUUGGAAUUG
ensembl:processed_transcript